UACGAACUGUGCGAACGUUAUUCGGAAUCACUGGGCUUACAGGGUGCGUAGGCGGCUAUUCAGGUCAGGUGUGAAAGCCCUCGGCUCAACCGAGGAACUGCGCUUGAAACCGGAUGGCUCGAGUCAACUAGAGGUGCACGGAACUUCCAGUGGAGCGGUGAAAUGUGUUGAUAUUGGAAGGAACACCGGAGGCGAAAGCGGUGCACUGGGGUUGGUCUGACGCUGAGGCACGAAAGCCAGGGGAGCGAACGGGAUUAGAUACCCCCGUAGUCC
rnacentral:rRNA from 1 species